rnacentral:tRNA from 1 species
CUCCCCGUAGUGCAACGGAAGAACGUCGGUCUACGAAGCCGAAGACGGUGGUUCGAAUCCACCCGGGGAGG